AACAGUUUCAAAUAAUUACAUAUACGACCUCAGCAACAAAUCAGUCACGCCACGAUCCCAGGAGCUAUAGCCGCACCUUACAAAUCAAUCACACCCCGAUUCCUCAGAUCACAAUCCCAGGAAAGGUGACGAAAAUCCCUCAGAUCACGAUCCCGGGAAAUUAGGUAAUCCCUCAAAUCACGGAUCCCAGUUAAGGCAAGAAGAAAUCCCUCAGAUCACGAUCCCAGUGAAGGCAAGAAGAAAUCCCUCAGAUCACGAUCCCGGUUAAGGCAAAAACAAAUCCCUCAGAUCACGAUCCCAGUGAAGG
rnacentral:lncRNA from 1 species